UACGGAGGGGGCUAGCGUUGUUCGGAAUUACUGGGCGUAAAGCGUGCGCAGGCGGUUUUGUAAGCCAGAUGUGAAAUCCCCGGGCUCAACCUGGGAAUGGCAUUUGGGACUGCAAGGCUGGAGUACGGCAGAGGAGACUGGAAUUCCUGGUGUAGCAGUGAAAUGCGUAGAGAUCCGGAGGAACACCAAAGGCGAAGGCAGUGUCCUGGGGAGUACCUGACGCUCAGGUGCGAAAGCCAGGGGAGCGAACGGG
rnacentral:rRNA from 1 species